ensembl:snRNA U6 U6 spliceosomal RNA
GGGCUCACUUUGGCAACACAUACAGUAAAACUGAAAUGAUACGAGGAGAUUAGCAUGGCUGCCACUGUGCAAGGAUGGCACACAGAUUCCUGAAGCAUAUUUUUUUUUC